ensembl:lncRNA
AGACUAAACAGAAUAGAGCUGGCUUUAUGCAGCAGCUCUGGAGAAGUUAAAUCUUGUUGCUGGUUUACAGAACCUGGGCAGCAAUUCUGCUCCACCACAAGACUCCAGAUUGCUUCAUGCAGAGCAGCUGAGGGGGCCACAGCCUUUUCUUGCCAAGCUGCAAAUCCACGUUCAUUUAAUUUCCCUAAUGAAUCAUCUCUUAUUACUUCAUGUGCAAGGGCCUGGUUUCUCUCUAUAAGCAGCUCAAUCAAUUUUAAGAGGCAGAGCAGAACCUGGAGCCUGAGCUCUCACAGUAGCCAUCAUUCACCAGAUGACUGGGGGUCCCUCCAUGCAAGUCCCCUGCACCCACGGCCAGCUCUCAACCACCUCGUGCCCCUGGUGGAACAUUCCCAGCAGCGCCUGAAGGAUGCUUCAGGUAUCCUGUGCCAGCCCUCUUCAGGCACUGAUCAGAUUGGCAGCAGAAUGAAUGUGUCAGCCUUGGAAACUUCACUUCUGGGCAUAGUACUGGGCAUAGGACAUCCAUCUGAAGCUAAUAUAUUGGAUAGAGGAAAAGGGGAAAAACUAAAUAUAUUACUGCUGAGAUGUAAGUAUGCUGUGGUGUUUCUUUUAGCUGUUCCAUGUUCAUAAAAGUGGGUUUGCCUUGAUGGAAUCUCUGCAGCUUAAUUCUUCUCCUGUUAAAUUUAAUGUGAUUUUUCUUUAUUAAAAAAAAAAAAAGUUACCGAGUUUGAAGCUCAAAGCAAGUCAAAAAAUGAACUUUCUGUUUGAGAAAUAUUGUGGAAAAUUCUCAACUUUUUAUUUUCUAAAGGGCAUUUUCAACAUCAAAAUGUAAAUUUUCAUUUUUUUUUGAAAUCUUUUAACAGUUUUUUUCCAAAAUAAUUUUUAGUUUCACUAUCUGAUACCAUAAAAAAAUGUAGCCACAAGGAACAAGAGCUAUAUUUUGUAGUUUAAAAUGAAAACAGCUUCUGAAUUAUGACAUGAUUCUACAAGGAAUCAGCUCUAUAUGAUAACAGAGUUGUCAAACAGGACUUCUACAGAGAUUAGGAAAUCCCUCACUGAGAAACCAUCUACUUCCAGCUAUUCUUCUUGGUUCCAGUUUUUCUUUAUGAAGGCUCUUCUUUUUUUAAAACCUUGCUAGUGCAAUUACAGUUGUGAAUCUGGCAUUUCUUAAUGUCUGACAGGAGGCUUAAUUCAAAGAAAAUGUAUGUAGGUACAAAAUAACAGAACAUGAUCUUAUUUUGUGAACACUCACUUGGUACUCUUCUCAGUUCUUUAACAUGAUGAAACCAGAAGUUCUUGCAUUUGGCAGUUCAGCUUUCCCAGUCCAAGCAGUUGUACAACGUGCUGUCAAGCAUAAAAUUAGGUGCAUCCAGAGCUCUGCCUUGGGGCAGUGCACAGGAUAAGGAGAUUCCUAGAAAAGAGCGGCUGCAACAAUUAGCUGAACCAUGAACCCUAAGCUUAGCACCCUCACACUCAGAGCAGAAGACACAAAGGAGAGGAACCACAGUGCAAGUUGUUUGACUGUGAUAGCUAUCGACCUAAUGAGAAUUCACUGAUUCCUGCAGUUCCCUGAAACUUUAAACUUCACAGACUGAAACCAAAUAGGGUCUGCUAGGUUGCAAUAUAUUCUUGCUCCCAAGCAUGUCUCCAUGUGAGCUUCUCCAUGUGAUCCAGCACAACCAGACAACCUAGCCUCUUGCAGAGAGCCCUGCAAAAUGGCCAAAGCCAUGUUUCUUCCCCAGCAGUGUCUCUUCUGCCAAUCUAGAAGUGAUUUACUAUUAAUUUUAAUUGUUUAAUAUACUAUAAACCACUGUAAAGAAACUAAUAUGCUGGCCAAAACCAAAUGUUUUUCAAAAAAAAAAAAAAAGUUCCAGGACUGGCAUUAAUUGGAUGAUGAACAGCUCAGGAUAUUAGAGGACAAAUUGUAGCUAUGAACUUGCUGCACCACUGAAACAGCACCAGAGAUGAGAGGCAUGCAUUCUGCACUUCUGAAAGCAGGAAUAUUUUGUCACACUGUCAUAAGAUAAAAUUUCUGAUGUAUAGUUAAAUAACCUUUACUUUCAUCCCUCUGGUGUAAAAGAUGAAAAUCUUUUAAGAGUGAAAGUCCCAAAGAAAUGUAAAUACAGUGUAUUCACUACUGACAUUUCAAAAGAUUUUGCCCCACCAGUGGAGACAGCUAUUCUCUAUUAUCAGGUUUCCUGUCAGUCAUAUUGAUUAAAGUUGAUAAAUACUGCAAGCCACUUGGGGUAGGCUAAAGGACACAAAAGAAAAAUAUAACUUACUUGAAAAGGAACACAUUUCCUGGGAAAUGAAAAGCAGGCCGUAUUGGCCUGCACCUUGCUACUUCUAAAUAAAGUAAAUUCCCUUUCUUUUUUUUCUUUUUUC